rnacentral:rRNA from 1 species
GGAUUUCUUCGGAAGAAGUGACUGAGCGGCGGACGGGUGAGUAACGCGUGGGUACCUGCCUCAUACAGGGGGAUAACAGUUGGAAACGGCUGCUAAUACCGCAUAAGACCGCAUGGUAAAAACUCCGGUGGUAUGAGAUGGACCCGCGUCUGAUUAGCUAGUUGGUGGGGUAACGGCCUACCAAGGCGACGAUCAGUAGCCGACCUGAGAGGGUGACCAGCCACAUUGGGACUGAGACACGGCCCAAACUCCUACGGGAGGCAGCAGUGGGGAAUAUUGCACAAUGGGGGAAACCCUGAUGCAGCGACGCCGCGUGAGCGAUGAAGUAUUUCGGUAUGUAAAGCUCUAUCAGCAGGGAAGAAAAUGACGGUACCUGACUAAGAAGCCCCGGCUAACUACGUGCCAGCAGCCGCGGUAAUACGUAGGGGGCAAGCGUUAUCCGGAUUUACUGGGUGUAAAGGGAGCGUAGACGGCAUGGCAAGCCAGAUGUGAAAGCCCGGGGCUCAACCCCGGGACUGCAUUUGGAACUGUCAGGCUAGAGUGUCGGAGAGGAAAGCGGGAUUCCUAGUGUAGCGGUGAAAUGCGUAGAUAUUAGGAGGAACACCAGUGGCGAAGGCGGCUUUCUGGACGAUGACUGACGU